UGAACCAUGCCCUGGAAGAGCAUGAACCGACCUGAAUCUGUUUCCUGCAAUCCUCUCUGUUCACCAAAGCCACGCACAUUCAUUCACUUAUUCAUCCAACAAAAAUGUAUGCCAGCUGUGAGGCAGGCCCUCUUCUCGGUGCCUGGCACACAUCAGGGAACCAAGGAAAGAUUCCUGGAGAUUGUGGGGCUUUCUGGUGGGAAGAGCCUGAAAACAAAUGAUAAUUUAAUGAGUAUAAUACAGUAGAAGUUGAUAUCUCUGGAAAAAUGACAGGAAAAGUCAGAGAAAGGGUGUCUGGAGUGUCCAGAGUGGUAUGUAGGUUAGAAUGUGAAUAAGAUGGUCAGUAGCCAUGUUUGAGAAGGUGAGAUUUGAGCAAGGAUUUGGGCAGGGGCAGGACUUCUCCAGGUGGAGGGGUAUCUGAGCACAGGGCAUUCUGGGAAAGAGGAAGGGGUGCCAGAACCAAGCAUCGAGAACAUGCUGGCUUGUUGGAGGAACAAGGAGGCUGCAGAAGCGUGUGACUGGAGGGGCAGCAGGAGCAGAUACCACCUGAGGGGACCCAGGGUACUGGGUAAUGAGGGUUUUGCAGGAUGAUAUAAGGACCUUUGGCUUUUAGGCUGAGUGGCAUGGGGAACCAUGGUGGGCUGAAAAGUGGCAAGCAUGGCUGAUCUAUCUUGCUGGUAUAUUAAGAAAAGACUGUAUGGGAUCCAGGAUGAAGCAGAGGAUGAGUAGGGGAUGUUUGCAGGGAUCCAGCAAGUGAUGCCGGUAGCAGACCAGCUGGGACCAGAGCAUGCGAAAAGCGAAGAAUCAUGAGCUUGAGGAUUUGGCUGAGCAGUGUUCUAUUCUGGAAAAAGAAAAGAAAAAAAGAAAAGAAAAGAAAAAAAAAAGAAAAGAAAAGAAAAGAAAAGAAAAAAGACCACCACCAGGAAAGGAGCAGAAAGCCCCAGAAGCUUCUAUCAUGCCUGAACCCAUGAGAGCAAACCUUGUUUGGGUUUCACGCACCCAACACAACAUGCCGGUUUGGAGGGAAGCAAUCACGACAGCAUCACUAAACCCAAAAGUUAUAGUGAAUAUAAAAUAGUGGGUGUUCCACAUGGCAGGGAGCCAUCUGAUUUAUCCUGUCAGGUCAGUGUCAGAAGCUAUUUGCUGGGAUUGUCAGUAAUGCUCACAGAUAUUGGCUCUCCGUUCCCUUGCUAUGAUCUUUAAGGCUUCCUGACAUGACUCUGGAAGCUUUGGGGUAGGCUGGAUUUUCUAAACAGAGCCUAGAAGAAUGGUUAGGGAUAGAGGGACAGACAUUCUCGAGCAAUAUUCUAAGGUCCUUACCUCUCCUUCCCCAGCAAGGAUUUCUGGUGCUAUGUCUACAAAGAGAAGCCCCGAGAAGACAGACAAUGAGAACAGAAGAUGGUGGUUAUAGGUUUUCAUCUGUACACUGUGCUAUAAGAAGAUGAGGUUUGCUGCAUAGUGUAAACACAUCUCUUUUUGAUGUGUUGUGAAUGUCUCAAAAAAAAAAAAAAGAUGAAAACACUCCAUUUGAAUCCAUGUCAACGUGAGGAAAUAUUCUAGUGUGACUCCACUGUUCUAGAGAAGAGCUCCUCUUGGAGGAACCCAUUCAGGGAGCAGAGCCCCUGGGGCAUGCAGAUGGGGGACAGAGCAGGUACAGAAAGAGCACUGACCCCCCUGGGAUAGAAUCGGUCUUGGUUUCAUUUUGCCAGCCCUCGCCAUGCUCCUGCUUUAAAGACCUCUGCUUUAACACCCUGCACUUUUGUUAACAUUGGGAAUCAUUAUAAAGCCAUUUCCAAAAACGUCUCCUCUAUAGGCACCUUACCCAUUAAAUGUACAGUGAAGCCAGAUAUACUAGCUUGUUCUUCCAAGCUGCAAAAUGAAGGUUUAAAAUCAAAUUAUAGACUUUGUAAUACUUUCAGAAAAACAAUUUCUUUCUGAGGUCUCAAAUAAUUAAAUGGAAUGAAAGCACACGAAGUUUUGAUUUCUAUAAUUUCAACAUUCAAAUUAACUUUCCUAAUUUCUCACUAGUUGACAAGCUGAUUUAUGCAUAGUUGAUAUUACACCGAUGCAAUAUAUAA
rnacentral:lncRNA from 1 species